UACGUAGGGGGCAAGCGUUGUCCGGAUUUAUUGGGCGUAAAGCGUCCGCAGGCGGUCCUACAAGUUUGGGGUGACAGUUCCCGGCUCAACUGGGAAAGUGCCUCGAAAACUGUGGGACUUGAGGGCUUGAGAGGAGAGCGGAAUUCCGGGUGGAGUGGUGAAAUGCGUAGAUAUCCGGAGGAACACCAAUGGCGUAGGCAACCUCCUGGGCCUGAAUUGACACUGAGACACGAAAGCGUGGGGAUCAAACAGG
rnacentral:rRNA from 1 species